GAUGAACGCUAGCGGCAGGCUUAACACAUGCAAGUCGAGGGGCAGCGCGGAUAGCAAUAUCCUGGCGGCGACCGGCGGAAGGGUGCGUAACGCGUGAGCGACAUGCCCGUUGCCCGGGGACAACCGGUGGAAACGCCGACUAAUCCCCGAUGGGAUAUUGUGCCGCAUGGCACGAUAUUGAAAGUUACGGCGGCGACGGAUUGGCUCGCGUCCGAUUAGCUGGUUGGCGGGGUAACGGCCCACCAAGGCUGCGAUCGGUAGGGGUUCUGAGAGGAAGGCCCCCCACAAGGGGACUGGGACACGGCCCAUACUCCUACGGGAGGCAGCAGUGAGGAAUAUUGGUCAAUGGGCGGAAGCCUGAACCAGCCAUGCCGCGUGCGGGAAGGAGGCCCUAUGGGCUGUGAACCGCUUUUGCCUGGGGGCAAUAAGGGCGUCGCGCACGUCCGAUGAGAGUACCAGGCGAAUAAGCAUCGGCUAACUCCGUG
rnacentral:rRNA from 1 species